UUGAACUUCAAUUCUAAAAGAUUCCCAACAACAAUUCUAGACCACUACCUUUUACCUUAAGAAAGCAGUGUGACCAAUACACAUUCGCGCAUACAUAAGCUGCAUAAUACAGUUGGCUUGCAGCUGAGAGGUAAAAAUUGAAAGUGGACACACCGAUUCGAUAUUCAAAUGAGAUUGUGGCUUUGCAUUUAAGUAGGUGACACAGAUUUUGUAUAAAAACUCAAGCGCCCUUUGGAAAAGUUAUCAAACAGUCUUUACUUUUGUGCAACAAACUCAAACGCAAAAAUGUUCAACCUUUUCAAAGUGCUCAUCGUGAUCGCCGCCUUGGUGUGCAUUGCUGUUGCCGAUCCAAGUAUCGUGGGACCCGGCCUCGUCCACGGUCUUGGUGCUGUAGCUGUGGGACCAGUUGGACCAGUCGGCCCAAUUGUUGGUGUAGGUCUGGGUCAUGGUGGCAUUCAUGGUCAUUUACAUGGUUAAAUAACUACUUCUAAGCCAUACCAAUUGGACUGCCAACAUUCCCCACUGGACAACUCCCUUUGCAGACUUACUUUUUCGCACCCCACAUCACUUAUGGAACCACGAAUGUUAGGAAUUUCGCAACUUAGUAUAUCUUUGUGUCUCGUUCGUUGCAUUGUUGCGUAUUCCUUUAUCAAUAAUUUUUUGUAAAAAUGUAUUUUCUUAGUUUGAUUUAAAUAAAUAUACAAUAAACUGACAGCAAA